rnacentral:lncRNA from 1 species
CCUGGGUUCGUGGUGCUGCAGUGCAGAGCACGGUUCCCUGGGGGUCUGAUAGAGGGGCUGUUAGCAUGAAUUUGUUUGAACUGCAGGCUGCUGAGAGCUUGUGUUGCUCGUCCACAGCAUACUGAAGACGGGGCUCAGAGAUGUGGCUGGCAGUCUGGGAAGAGCUUCCAGCUGGGGCACAAGGGAGCAGUGGUGACAGGAUUGACAACCAUCUCAAGCACAAGCUUUGCUGGGAUGAGAAGAGGUGUGAUUCCCGAUCAAUGCAGCUAGGCUGACAGAAAUCUGUAGUGAGCCAAAUGAGGCCUUUGGAGACUGCUGCUGUCUGAUUUCUACAGGAACCUGAGAAAUGUACGGAAGAUACAGUACCUUUUUACAAUAUAGUACUGUAUCCCCUGCUGUAAUCUCACAGUUUAUUAGAUCAUCAGAAACUUUUUAGAUUAUUAUAUAGUACCUCAUGAGUCCUUAGUGACUUUGUACAUCAAGAACUUUGUCUUUAAGUGACUGAAAUUUAUUUUCUUAUGCUGUAAGAAAUGUGUAGACCUUAUGUGUGGUCUGUAACACUUUUGACAUUGUAACAUGGAUGCUAAGGCAUAAGAAAUGUCAGAGCUCUCACAAAACAGAAAGCAGCUGCUAUUGAUGGAAAUUACCUACCUGUUGGUACAUUGUGCCUGCUAAAUUCCAAGUCAUGUAAAAUAACAUAAAAUAAAGAAGGGUGCUUUCUUUAUUCUUGAUGUUGA